ensembl:snoRNA
AUCCUUUUGCAGUUCCUAAGCGUGAUGAUUGGAUAUUCACACUUGUGUGCGAGAUGUUCCUUUUUCUAAACCUUGUAUGUCAGCACAUUACUCAUCUAAUG